GACGAACGCUGGCGGCGUGCUUAACACAUGCAAGCCGAACGGUAAGGCCCUUCGGGGUACACGAGUGGCGAACGGGUGAGUAACACGUGGGUGAUCUGCCCUGCACUUCGGGAUAAGCCUGGGAAACUGGGUCUAAUACCGGAUAGGACCACUGCCUGCAUGGGUGGUGGUGGAAAGCUUUUGCGGUGUGGGAUGGGCCCGCGGCCUAUCAGCUUGUUGGUGGGGUGAUGGCCUACCAAGGCGACGACGGGUAGCCGGCCUGAGAGGGUGACCGGCCACACUGGGACUGAGAUAAGGCCAGACUCCUACGGGAGGCAGCAGUGGGGAAUAUUGCACAAUGGGCGCAAGCCUGAUGCAGCGACGCCGCGUGAGGGAUGACGGCCUUCGGGUUGUAAACCUCUUUCAGCACCGACGAAGCGCAAGUGACGGUAGGUGCAGAAGAAGGACCGGCCAACUACGUGCCAGCCGCCGCGGUAA
rnacentral:rRNA from 1 species